rnacentral:rRNA from 1 species
AACGCGUGGGAAUCUGCCCUUGGGUACGGAAUAACUCAGAGAAAUUUGUGCUAAUACCGUAUAAUGUCUUCGGACCAAAGAUUUAUCGCCCAAGGAUGAGCCCGCGUAAGAUUAGCUAGUUGGCGGGGUAAAUGCCUACCAAGGCUACGAUCUUUAGCUGGUCUGAGAGGAUGAUCAGCCACACUGGGACUGAGACACGGCCCAGACUCCUACGGGAGGCAGCAGUGGGGAAUUUUGGACAAUGGGCGAAAGCCUGAUCCAGCAAUGCCGCGUGAGGGAUGAAGGCUCUCGGGUCGUAAACCUCUUUCAGCAGGGAAAAAGGGAAACUUGAUGGUACCUGCAGAAGAAGCACCGGCUAACUACGUGCCAGCAGCCGCGGUAAUACGUAGGGUGCAAGCGUUGUUCGAAAUCACUGGGCGUAAAGCGCGUGUAGGCGGUCUGUUAAGUCUAAUGUGAAAGCCCGAGGCUUAACCUCGGAAGUGCAUCGGAUACUGACAGACUAGAGGACAGAAGAGGGAAGUGGAAUUCCUGGUGUAGGGGUGAAAUCCGUAGAUAUCAGGAGG